GAGACCAAAAAAAAACAGUGGAUGGGAAGAGGCAAUUCCUGAAACAUUGAGUGUGAGUCUUCAGGCUCCUGUACCUCCUACUUGAUGGUGGCAAUAAGAGGGCAUGUCCUAGGAGAUGGAAGCUCUUAAAGAUGGAUGCUGUCUUUUUGAGGCAUUGCCUUUUGAAGAUGUCCUCAAUGCUGGGGAGGCUAGUGCCAAUGAUAGAUCUGGCUGAGUUUGCAACCCUCUGUAGCUUUUUUCCAAUCCUGUUCAGUGCCCCCCUCCCAUACCAGACAGUGAUGCAAUGUGUUAGAAUGCUCUCCACGGUACAACGGUAGAAAUUUGUGAGUGUCUUUGGUGACAUACCAAAUCUCCUCAAACUCCUAAUGAAAUAUAGCUAUUGUCAUGUUUCUUUGUCAUUACAUCAAUAUGCUGGGCCCAGGAUAGAUCUUCAGAAAUGUUGACACCCAGGAACUUGAAACUGCUCACCCUUUCCACUGCUGAUCCCUCAAUGAGGACUGGUGUGUGUUCUCCAGACUUCCCUUUGCUGAAAUCCACAGUCAAUUCCUUAGUCUUACUGACGUUGAGUGCAAAGUUGUUGCAACGUCACUCAACCAGCUGAUCUAUCUAUCUCACUCCUUUUCCAUACUUGGGCGUUGGUGCUCCCUUUAAAUUCACCUGGUUCACUGGUAAAAUUAUUGUACCGUAACAUCUUAAAAACAAAUUUAAAGUAUUUUGGAUUAUUAAUGGGAGCAAUAUCCAGUGGGCUGGAAAAUCUGGAACAACAAUCUGCUCGAGGAACUCAAUAAGUCGAGCUGCAAUUAUGGAAGGAGAGGAGUUGUUGAUGUUUUGUCUUUGAAUUCACUGUGCUCUGUGAAAGAAAUUUAUGGCGUUUAAGAUUCAAGUCUUUUGAAGAUCUAGAGUUCCGAUUCUAUUCUCAGAUUUGUCUACAAUCUCUGAUGCAGGACGUUGACCCAAAAUAACAACAAUUCCUCCUCUCUCACAGAUGCUGCUUGACCCACUGAGUUCCUCCAGCAGUUUGAAUUUUGCUCCGUGAAAGAUGUUUUCGCCUGAAAUGCCAAUAGGGUAGAUGAAGUGGUGCCAUAUUGGCAACAGAUACCAUCAGACCACAAAAUGGCAGAUGCAUUCACAGUAAAACAAAGAAAUACAACAGAAUCGAUGACAAAACUACACAAGGACCAACAGACAAUGUGGAAAAGACAAACUGUGUAAACACAAAAAGACAAAUAAUAAUAAAUUUGUUAAUAAAUAAACAAUACUGAGGAUACAAGUUGAUGAGUCUCUGGAAUCAGGUCAGUGUUGGAGUGAGUUAAGUUACAUACACUGGUUCAGGAGCCUGAUGGUUGAAGUGUAGUAACUGAAUCUGGUGGUGUGGGACCUAAGGCCCUGUACCUCCUUCCCAAUGGCAGCAGCAAGAAGAGACCAUGGUUAUGGGACUUAAUGGAAAAUAACUACUUAGAUAACAAUACAUACAAAAUGCUGGAGGAACUCAGCAGGUCAGACAGCAUCUGUCUAUAGAGGAAAAUAAACAGUUGAUGUUUUGGAUCAAAAUCCUUUAUAGCGGUUACUUCAAAACAAACCAAAACCGCUGAGAGACUAAAUGCGGAGAUCGACGCUGUAUGAUGCGCUUCUAAAGUAAUGAAGUUCCCAAGUUGAAAAAGGUACUUUUGAUCCUUUAUUAUGAAACCAGCAAAGAUGAACAACCUUAUAGCGAUUAAAAAAAAAACUAAGGAAACUAAAUCAGCAAUAUAGUGUUCUUAGCGUUCAAAUUAGCAUAACUAAGCAAUCUAAUUAGCGAUAUCAAAAUUAGUGUUCUCUUCGUAUUGAAGUGUUCCAAUAACAUCCCAAUCAGUGGUCAACAAAAAAGUAUCAUUCCCCGUGGCACACUCCUCUCCACUGGACUAAACUAAAUAACUAACUAACGAAACGAGAAUACAUAACUAUACUGAUUUACUUCUACCACAUCCCAACCCACAUGACAGAUUACCAUAACAAAUUAGCCACAAAAUAGAAUACAGACAGAAAAUAUAUGCAUGGCUUCAAUGGACAGAAAAUAGAUA